rnacentral:misc_RNA from 1 species
GGAAAAUUUACCCCACUCUGCUCUUAUCCAACCCUAAGCUCUUGUGGACGGAGAUAGAUCUGCAUACCCUUUUGCCAGUUGAAGGAACCAGCAUUGCUAGGAUGCUUCCUGUAUGGAGUCAAACAAGGGUCUCCCGUUUUUCGAAACUGCCCAUGGUGAGCCUUUCUAGCAAAAGCAAUAGCCUUUUGCACCUGCCUUCACAUAUCAAAAACGUUUUAUAGGCAGCAGAUGAAAAAUUCACAAAUUCAUAUCACAGUACAAGCAGAGAUAGAAAACCUUCGAAUCGCUAAAUUACAUCUACUCCAUCCACAAUGAGUUCCUGGUUGUUUGUCCACGUUAGGCCACAAAAAAUCAAUCUUAGUGGAGAGGCAAGCAACGGCGGUAACAGCGACGUGCGUAAUCCCGGACGUAACAGCGCCACGGAGGCGGCGGCGGCGGCGAUGAUGUUACCGGAAGUGAAAACAGAAGAGAGGGAGGAGGAGACAGCAAAUUUGGGGGCAAUGUGGUCGAGAAGGCAGCGGAAUUUGCGGGAAUUAUGAGUAGUAGUGCGGAAAUAGAAGGGGUAGAAAUGAAGAACUUGAAGAAAAAAGGAGAAGUUUUUACGUGAAAACAUAUUGGAGGAUUCAGUAUGGCAUGGAGAUGAAGAGGAAGUGGAAAGCAUUGAAAUUAGCAAAUGAUUUUUGGUUGGAGAGAGGUUGGGAUUUUCAUUACUGGGAAUGUGAGAUUUUGAGCUUGGAGGAAGAGGUUAAAAAAUACAUAAAUUGUUACAAGGCCGUUAUGGUUUCGCUUUGUUAUCUCUGCCAUGGCUAAAGUUGGAAUGUUG